rnacentral:tRNA from 1 species
GCCCCCAUAGUAUAAUUAAUU